CGGAGGCCAGAGGCGUCGUCACACAUUCGUCGAGCCCCAUUCGGCCGUCGCGAUCGUUCCAGAUCUCGGUCGAGGAGAACAUAGACGACGAACAGCCAGUAUAGCGAGGGCGCCAUCCAUUUGCCGUUUCAAGAAGUUUUUAAGAAGCCUGUUGGAAGCAACGCGACGGAACGCGACUACAUUAUAUCCAUCCGGAGACAGCAUAAUUGCAAUCGAACUUCACUGACUUUUGCUGCAAAUGCAAAUUCGAGCAAUUAAGAGCGCCAAGAAAAAUCGCCUGAUCUAAAAAAUCGCCAAACGAAUCAACAUCGUUUCCUCCGACGCUUUUCCCGAAGAAGACCUUUGUCCGAGUCGUAUC